CCUACGGGAGGCAGCAGUGAGGAAUAUUGGUCAAUGGGCGAGAGCCUGAACCAGCCAAGUCGCGUGAGGGAGUACUGCCCUAUGGGUUGUAAACCUCUUUUGUCGGGGAGCAAAAGCCGGACGUGUCCGGCUGUGAGAGUACCCGAAGAAAAAGCAUCGGCUAACUCCGUGCCAGCAGCCGCGGUAAUACGGAGGAUGCGAGCGUUAUCCGGAUUUAUUGGGUUUAAAGGGUGCGGAGGGGGAUUUUUAAGUCAGCGGUAAAAUCGUGGGGUUCAACCCCAUCCAGCCGUUGAAACUGGGGAUCUAGAGUGUGCGAGAGGUAUGCGGAAUGCGUGGUGUAGCGGUGAAAUGCAUAGAUAUCACGCAGAACCCCGAUUGCGAAGGCAGCAUACCGGUGCACAACUGACGCUCAGGCACGAAAGCGUGGGUAUCGAACAGGAUUAGAUACCCCAGUAGUC
rnacentral:rRNA from 1 species